GGGGAAUAUUGNACAAUGGGNGCAAGCCUGAUCCAGCAAUACCGCGUGUGUGAAGAAGGCCUGACGGGUUGUAAAGCACUUUCAAUUGUGAAGAAANGCUNANGGUUAAUAACCUNGNGUCUGACGUACUUAGAAGAGCACCG
rnacentral:rRNA from 1 species